CGGCGGUGCUGUGGAACUUCGACGGCCGGUCCUGGCACGACCGGCUCAGCGGCACCAUCGUGCUGCGCCGCUGACCGUCCU
rnacentral:tRNA from 1 species